UACGUAGGGGGCUAGCGUUAUCCGGAAUUACUGGGCGUAAAGGGUGCGUAGGCGGUCUUUCAAGCCAGAAGUGAAAGGCUACGGCUCAACCGUAGUAAGCUUUUGGAACUGUAAGACUUGAGUGCAGGAGAGGAGAGUAGAAUUCCUAGUGUAGCGGUGAAAUGCGUAGAUAUUAGGAGGAAUACCAGUUGCGAAGGCGGCUCUCUGGACUGUAACUGACACUGAGGCACGAAAGCGUGGGGAGCAAACAGGAUUAGAUACCCGGGUAGUCCCUGAG
rnacentral:rRNA from 1 species